UUACGCUUGCCAAUGGGUGGGGAGAGCAGACCAGCCCACCAACUGACCCCAUCCUGACCCCGAGCCGCCGCCGCCGGGGGAAUCUCUCGCCAUGGCGCCGCCGCCCGCCACCGCCGCAGCGGCCGCCGCCGUCCGCCACCACCGGCCGCACCUGCUCCUCCGCCGCGGAGGGGGGCUCCUCCCCUCGCCGUCGGGCCCCGCUACGCUCCCCUUCGCCUCGCGGGGCGCGGCCGCGCGCAUCCGCCUCCCGCCGCCGCGGUUCUCUCUCUCGCCCGUCCCCAAGAGCCUCUCGGCCGCCUCCUCCGCCUCCCACGUCCCCGUGCGGUCCCUCUUCACCGGAAUAGUCGAGGAGGUCGGCCGCGUGCGCCGCCUCGGCCCGCCGCUCGCGCCGUCCGGCGGCGGCGGCGGCGGCGGCGAGGCUCCAGGCCUUGACCUGGAGGUAGAGACGAAGGACCUCCUCGCCGGGACGCAGCUCGGGGACAGCGUGGCCGUCGACGGCACCUGCCUCACCGUGGCGGCGAUCGACCCGGCGGCCUCCACGCUCACCUUCGGCGUGGCCCCGGAGACGCUCCGCCGGACGUCCCUGGGCGAGCGCGCCCCGGGCGACGGCGUCAACCUCGAGCGCGCGCUCACGCCGUCGUCCCGGAUGGGAGGGCACUUCGUGCAGGGCCACGUGGACGGGACCGGCGAGAUCGCGGCGUUCCGGCCCGACGGCGACUCGCUCUGGGUCACCGUGCGCGCGCCGCCGGAGAUCCUCAGGCUGCUCGUGCCCAAGGGCUUCGUCGCCGUCGACGGCACCAGCCUCACCGUCGUCAGCGUCGACGACGAGGGCGGGUGGUUCGACUUCAUGCUCGUGCGCUACACGCAGGACAACAUCGUGCUGCCCACCAAGAAGGUUGGCGACAAGGUGAACCUGGAGGCAGAUAUACUGGGAAAGUACGUUGAGAAGCUCCUUGCUGGGAGGGUGGAGGCGAUGGCGAAGGCGGAUUCUUGAGAUGCCAUUGUUGAGCUGCUGAAUUGCUCAUCAUUCUAUAGAAGGAUUGCUGUUCGAAAGCUUUAAAGAUUGAGAAUUCCAAGAGAGCAAGAGCUGAAAAGUAGUAAGAGCAACUUUUCUUUGGAGAAAGGGAUGAACGAGGACUUGGAUUCCAUGCCUGUGCUGAUUCAGCUUGGGUCCUGAGAGGACGACAAAGGGGCUUCACGAACUUUAUGCAUCAAGUUUUUGUUAUGACGUUUCCCAGAUGCUCAUUUGGUUGCUCCAGCCUGCAAUUGCAAUGUCGAAUUCUAGUGCGCCUUCCCCUGAGCUUUGUGAUUGGGAAGAAUGGAACAUAAUGCUUGGCUACAGCUCCUUUUGCAAUUGCAGCUGGCUGUGUAAAGCCCUUUCCUUGACUCCAGAAAAUAAGACAGUGUUGACUGUAGCCGCGGUUCGUUUCGGGCACAACAUGGAUUUGAGACCAGUGGGUAGAAA